CGACCAGAUCUGUAACCACAGUCGCACUGUGCGACCUAUUACAAUUAAUCAUCAUUUAUCAUCCAGCCAAGUAGAAUCUUUGCAGGGAAAGGCUGUCCCUGCCAGGUAUCAGUUUCUUCCCCUGACAGGGAUGGUCAGCAGGGGGGUCACACCUCAUUAAGGCCUGCCAUGUGUCUGUACUGUCUUCAAUUACAUGUACCAAGGAGGUUUAAAAAAUGUUUUUCCACUGGACCUUUAUUUACUGUAUUCCCUUUGUGAGUUUGUCCAAACAGAUAGGGAAAUUUGAGAGUAUACAUGAUAUAUAUAUAUAUUGGUUUGGCCAAGGAGAUUUCAUGUAUAGGAAAUAACCUCCUUGAUAUAGUAUGGUAUGGUAUGAUAUGCUAUGACAGCAUGAUAAGUGGAGGUCCAGUAGGCAGUAACAAAACUUUUGUAACAUGACUUUUUAGACAACAAUGUUGCAGCCCCUGAGACAGUGAACAAGUAGGCCUUUAUAAAAAAAA